rnacentral:lncRNA from 1 species
GGAGGUUUGGGCAUGGCGGGCUGCAGGUCUUGAACCCUGCCGCGUGGGGAGGCGGCUGAGGCCCGGUGAGAAUUCAAGCCUGGCGCGGGAGGUCUGGUAGCGGUCGGGGACCCAGCGCAUCCUCCGCUGCUGCUGGCCUGGGUGCCAAGCCCCUCAUUUCGGGCCAGCCGCUCGGAGUGCAGGCCCGCUGAGGCUGCGCCCACCUGGAACUCGCGCUGGCCCGCGAGCCGUGUCGCCCCUCCCGGCCCAGCCCCGGUUCCCGCCUACGCCUCUAUCUCCACACCUCCCUACAAGCGGAGGGAGCCGGCUCUGGCCUCGACCAGCCCAGAGAGGGGCUGGGACAGUGCAGUGGCGGGCUGAAGGGCUCCGAGGCCGAGGAGGUGCUGAGAGUGAGUGAGGGCUGCUAGCACGUUGUCACCUCUCAGUAACUGGAACACAUUAUUACUCCAGGUUGUCAAUGUGAAAAGCCAAAGGGAAAGAUGUGAAUAGACAGGUACAAGAAGGUU